rnacentral:tRNA from 1 species
GCCUGGGUGGCUCAGUCGGUUGAGCAUCCGACUUCGGCUCAGGUCAUGAUCUCACAGUCUGUGAGUUCGAGCCCCACGUCGGGCU